rnacentral:rRNA from 1 species
AACAGGAUUAGAUACCCUGGUAGUCCACGCCGUAAACGAUGUCGACUUGGAGGUUGUGCCCUUGAGGCGUGGCUUCCGGAGCUAACACGUUAAGUCGACCGCCUGGGGAGUACGGCCGCAAGGUUAAAACUCAAAUGAAUUGACGGGGGCCCGCACAAGCGGUGGAGCAUGUGGUCUAAUUCGAUGCAACGCGAAGAACCUUACCUACUCUUGACAUCCAGAGAACUUUCCAGAGAUGGAUCGGUGCCUUCGGGAACUCUGAGACAGGUGCUGCAUGGCUGUCGUCAGCUCGUGUUGUGAAAUGUUGGGUUAAGUCCCGCAACGAGCGCAACCCUUAUCCUUUGUUGCCAGCGGUCCGGCCGGGAACUCAAAGGAGACUGCCAGUGAUAAACUGGAGGAAGGUGGGGAUGACGUCAAGUCAUCAUGGCCCUUACGAGUAGGGCCACACACGUGCUACAAUGGCGCAUACAAAGAGAAGCGACCUCGCGAGAGCAAGCGGACCUCAUAAAGUGCGUUGUAGUCCGGAUUGGAGUCUGCAACUCGACUCCAUGAAGUCGGAAUCGCUAGUAAUCGUGGAUCAGAAUGCCACGGUGAAUACGUUCCCGGGCCUUGUACACACCGCCCGUCACACCAUGGGAGUGGGUUGCAAAAGAAGUAGGUAGCUUAACCUUCGGGAGGGCGCUUACCACUUUGUGAUUCAUGACUGGGGUGAAGUCGUAACAAGGUAACC